rnacentral:lncRNA from 1 species
CUCAAUCCGGGCCAUAUUCAGCUUAAUCAAGAACCCUAGCCUCUCUCCCCAAUCGUCGGCCUUAAACCCUCUCCUUCCAACGCCGAUUCAUCUUCGCCAGAUGGGGUUCUUUGCGCCUGGAGGAAUUUUAGCCCGAAAUCCCUCCUUAACUUCGAUUCUGACGAAGAAAGGAGGAGAAAUCCAUGGCCUACUCGCACGGUAAGGCUCCUUUCCUCUUUAAUUUAUUUGCUUUUCGAAAUAAAAUAAGAUAAAAAUAACACCAAAUGAGAGAAUAAUCACAAAGAAAGCCUAGAGAUUUUGAUCGAAAAAAUCACCUUCCGAUAUUGGUUGCCUUUUUGUAUUGCUUCCCUUUUUGUAUGCGUGUUUCAGUGUUUUUGUUGCAUAUUUGCGCGUAUAUUGCUUUCGUGCGUGUAAAAAAUUACAGGGAUUGAGAUUUCGACUUUAUAGCCGAAAAAGAGAAAGGAAAAUCAAUAAAAAUUAAUAAAAAAUACAAUAUUUCUUUGUUUCUAUUCUUUGCCGCUCUGUUUGUCUUCUUGUAGGGACGGGUGCGUGCUGGUGUGUGUACGGGAGCUUGGCGUGGUUGCUGGAGGUGUUGUACGGUGCCUGGAGGAUGCAGGGGUUGCUGCGGCGUGAACAGAAGACUGCUAGGGUUUCCAGUUUAGGCAUUGGGCUUAUUGGGCCUAUUUUGGGUCAGGUCUAGGUUUAGUUAUUGGGUCUGGGUUAUGUAACUGGGUUUGGGGCUGUAAAAAGGAUAUUUAAUGGACUGUGGUUAUUUAUUUAUUUAUUUAUUUUAUAUUUAUAUAUAUGUUUGGGGUUUUUAGCGGGCCCGGGCUAAAAUUGGUCACUACAGGUGAGACUUGGUGAUGACAAGUAGAUGCAAGUUGAGGGCAAAUGCACUGUGGCGAUAAGCAAUGGUCAUGGUAACAUAAAGAUCCUUUAUAAUGUCUAUUUUAUUCCUACUUUAUCUUAAAAUUUAUUGAGCAUUGGGCAGUUUAUGGGUAGUGGAUAUUCUGUCAUGUUUGAUGAUAUGUCUUGUAUGAUUAGAGAUAAAAAAUCAGGAAAAAUUAUUGUUGAUGUUCAGAUGGCACCAAACAAGCUCUUUCCUCUUGAAGUCUCUAAUGUAGAAAGUGACACCCCUAAAGUGACCCUAGUCGGAAAGCGGUCUUGGGACCGCUGGACCGAGUCACCAAAUUAUUUGAAUGUGAUAAUUAUUGCCUAAAAUAUUUGAAUAUAAAUGUGUGAAAGUUUUAAGCUUCGAUUUAGUUAAUUGCAUGUGAAUUUAGUUGAUAGGACUUAUGUGAGAAAAUUUAGAAAUGUGCUAGGCAAAUGCAAGUGGCCUAAUAGUGCAUGUAAUCAAAGGGGUGGACUUGCAUGUCAAUUUCCCCCCAUUUAAGUACUAGUGGCCGGCCAUGACAAGGGAUGAUGGGUAAAACAUGUCAUGAAACAUGUUGUGUUAAUGGAAAAAUAAAAUAAGAAGCAUGGGCAAAACAUGUCAUGAAACAUGUUGUGUUAAUGGAAGAAUAAAAUAAGAAGCAUGGGCAAUAAACUAAUAAGAAAUUGAAGGAAGAAAACAAAGAGAAAAAAAUGUGUUCAUCAUUCUCAUGCAUGACCAAAAAAAAAAAGAAAAAAAAAAGAAGAGAAAAGCUCUCAUGUUGUUCUUGGCCGAAUAGGAGAAAGAAAAAGAAGGAAAAAGAGCUUUGAGGAAAUCGGCUAUGGUGGUUUGAUAGACUAAGGUAUGUUUGAUGAUGUUCCAUGAGAUGCAUGCAUGUUUUAGUAGUUAGCUUGAGUUCUAAAUAGCCCAUGGUUCAAAUCUUUACUAUGUCAUGGAGAUGAUAUUCGGCCAAGGUGGAUUGGUGUUAAUAUCAUUUGCAUGCUAAAAGGUGGCCAUAUGACCUAUCAAACUCCUUGUCAUAUUCGGCCAUAAGCUAGCAAAAUGAGACUUUAAUGAGUUAAAUUUUUUUGAAUUAAGCUCAAGAGCAAAGGGGAACUAAAUCCGAUAAAGGGAAGGAAAAAGUGGUCGAAUAGCCGCCGAAAUCAUUCGACAACAUCCGAGGUAAGUUUUAAGUGAUUAAACGUUGAGUAAAUUCAAUCAUAAUAAGACAUAAUGAGUUGAUUUAAUAAGAUAUGAUGUGGCUAUGAUAUGUCUUAAACUCAAAUGGUAAGUUCAUAUGUGUUUAGACUUGGAAAUUUAAGAGCAAAUUGUAAUAAUUUGCUUUGGACAGCAGCAGUAACGUGAUUUUAGAAAAUCACUAUAAAUUGUUGGUAUGGAAUUAUAGGCUGAAUAAAAUAUGUAAUCAAGGCUUAAUUAGUCUAGUUUCUUAUAAAAGAGACCUUGUGAGCAAAGAAAUUUCAUAUAAAGAGAUAUUUAAAGUUGUGUGAGACGGUGUCAGAAUGACUCCGAAAUCCCCUGUUCUGUUUUUAGAAAAUCAUUAUAAAUUGUACAAAAAUGGUUAUAAGAUAAAAUUUAUAUUCUUAGACUCCUUAAUGAGUCUAGUUUCAAAUGAAAUCAAAUACAACACAUUUUGAAUUCUGUAAAAUGAGAAAUUUGAUUCGUAGUGAAGAGUGGUCAGAUUAGUCAAACAGUGAAACAGGGGAAACUUUAAGAAAAAUCUGGUAUUGAUUGGCCAAACCUAAAAUUCUGGAAAUUUUAUGGAUGGAAGAUAUACGAGUCUAUAUUCAGGAAAAAUUAACGGCAAGUGAUUUGGAGUUUUGUAUCUCCGGUUAUAAAUAAUUUAGUGACCAUUGCUCAGGAAAACAGAUCGUAGUGAAUAUGUGAUUUUGUUGUAAACAUGGAUAAAACUUGUUUUAGUUGCUCAUAAGCUAUUGAUUAAACCCAUACUUGAAUUCUAAAUCGUGAUAUUGUAAGCUUAUGAGUAUUCGAAUAUGAAAUGAUAGUAUGGCGUAAAAUUGAAUUAUUCAUUGGAAAGUGAUGGAUGUAGAUUCGGCCAAGACCAAGUCUGUACAUGAUAGUAUAUGUGGUAUGUGAAGUAUAUUUGAAUAAAUGUGAAAGUGUAUAUAUGUGAUAAGGCCUAAUGGCCAAUGUGAUGAAUGUGAAAGUGUAUAUAUAUGUGAUAAGGCCUAAUGGCCGAUGUGAUGAAUGUGAAAGUGUAUAUAUAUGUGAUAAGGCCUAAUGGCCGAUGUGAUGAAUGUGAAAGUGUAUAUAUAUGUGAUAAGGCCUAAUGGCCGAUGUGAUGAAUGUGAAAGUGUAUAUAUGUGAUAAGGCCUAAUGGCCGAUGUGAUGAAUGUGAAAGUGUAUAUAUGUGAUAAGGCCUAAUGGCCGAUGUGAUGAAUGUGAAAGUGUAUAUAUAUGUGAUAAGGCCGAAUGGCCAAUGUGAUGAAUGUGAACAUGUGUAUGUGUGAUAAGGUCGAAUGUCCAAUGUGAUGAAUGUGAACAUGCAUAUAUGAGAUAAGGCCGAAUGGCCAAUGUGAUGAAUGUGAACAUGUGUAUGUGUGAUAAGGCCGAAUGGCCAAUGUGAUGAAUGUGAACAUGUGUAUGUGUGAUAAGGCCGAAUGGCCAAUGUGAUGAAUGUGAACAUGCAUAUAUGAGAUAAGGCCGAAUGGCCAAUGUGAUGAAUGUGAAGGUGUAUAUAUGUGAUAAGGCCGAAUGGCCAAUGUGAUGGAUGUGGAAGUGUAUAAAUGUGAUAAGUCCCGAAGGGCAAUUGUGUCAGUACUAUAUCCGGGUUAAAACCCCGCAGGCUUUAUGCGAGAAUAUUAUCCUGAUUAAUGUCCGUAGGCUUCGUGCUCGUACUAUAUCUGAGCUUUAAAGACCCGACGGCUAAAUGCUAGGAUUCAAGUAAGACUUUGAUAUUGAGUAUCUGCAUUAAGUUACCAUCAAAUAAGUAUUAUGUAUUCAAGAUGUUCAGGUAUGUAUUACUUACUCAUCGGUGGAGUGAUUUCGAGGUGAAUUAUCAGUAUCAAAGAGGUAGGCAAAUGUGAUUAAUAUUAUAACUCCAAAUGUGAGAAUGAUCUAAUUGGUAAUGGUAUGUUUGUAUAAUAAAGUAUGCGAUGAAAUAUUCUUAUGUAUUAGUGCAUAUUCUGCCCAAAAGCCUUAUGAUCUGAGUAUGGGUUGGGUUGAGCUAGAUGUGCCAGUACAAGGUAAGGAUUAUGAUUUGUAAGCUUACAUAUAUGUGAUAAGGAAUAUGUUGGUUCUUUAUGUGCCUAUGGUAAUUUAGUACUUGUCAUGUUGAAAUACUUAAAAGUAUGGAUGUGAUUAUGAACAAGUGGAAAGGAUUAUUGAAAGCUGAAAAUCGAUGAAGAAUGUGCUUUGGAAAUAUUUGACCAUCUAGGUCAUUAUUAUUCGAAAGUAUAUAUGUGGCAGCCAAGUGUUGCGUUUAAUGAUAUUAUAGAUCGAGAUGAAGCUCUAGAUUAACUUCAUCGAACAGUUGAAAUGAAUGACCAAUGAUAGUGAUUGAGAACACUUUGUUUUGCUUAAAACUUACUAAGCAUUAAAUGCUUACUCCGUUCUUUGAAUCUCUGUUUUAUAGAUUUUGGUUCGUCAGCUAUCGGACUCGGGAUUAUUGAAGUCGAAGUCGCCCACACUAUCAAAACCCUUUUGGUACACUUUUGGUUGAACUCUGAAAAUGGCAUGUAUAGGACUACCCUUUUGUUGUUGGUCAUGUACCCUUCGGUUUUGUAUAAUUUUGGAUAGCCAUGCGAAAAUGGCUUAUAUAUGUUUGAGCAUAAUGUUAUAAUCAUUUGGUAUGGAUAUGGUUAUUGAGAGUUGUGGAUAUGCUUAACAAGGAUUGGCCAUGGGAAUGGUUAAUCAUUAUCAUAAUUUGUGCUA